GUGUGUGUGUAUUUAUUAUCUGCUGUGAAUGAAACUCUGCAAGUCCUCAACUUUCAAGCCAUUAUUUUCACCAUUUUAGCACAUUUCAAACCAAACUGUGCAUCCAAGGUUCUCCAGUUCUCAGGUGUGGUGGAUUUUCAACCAUGUGCUGUUGGGUAAGAGCUCAGGAGCAGUCAGCAUUUGAAGUGCUCUACAGAACAUGUUUGAUACACUCACAAACUCUGGCCUCACGUUAAGCACUUACACGCCACGAGCGAUACGACCUGACGGAAACAACCCAUGAAAUCUCAGAGUCUCCUCACCGGGGGAACACGGCCGACAAUAGACCCUAAUUAAAGCGUGCUGUGGGCUGACAGAGCCCAUUCUUCUCCACUGCGUCCCGUUUAAACUGGGCCUCCCUUCCUGUGCCAUCCACACCCACCUCACUCCACUAAUUUCAAGUGGAACCGUGAAGGCUUAAUGGAAGGCCUCGGAUGACAGGAAGUCAACGCGACCUGAGUGGUUGUCAGAUUCCAUUGGAGGCCCUUGGCAGUCUGAAACCCGCAGGAACUGGAUCCCGGACCAAAAUCCAUCCCUGGCUUUGUGUUUCUGUCAGUGAGGAGAUGUGUAAGGGCGGAUCAGUUUC